AGAGACAGCAGCCGCCGCGGGAAUACAGAGGAUGCAAGCGUUAUCCGGAAUGAUUGGGCGUAAAGCGAGCGCGGGCGGUUAGAUAAGUCUGAAGUUAAAGGCUGUGGCUUAACCAUAGUACGCUUUGGAAACUGUUUAACUUGAGUGCAAGAGGGGAGAGUGGAAUUCCAUGUGUAGCGGUGAAAUGCGUAGAUAUAUGGAGGAACACCGGUGGCGAAAGCGGCUCUCUGGCUUGUAACUGACGCUGAGGCUCGAAAGCGUGGGGAGCAAACAGGAUUAGAUACCCCAGUAGUCCCUGUCUCUUAUACA
rnacentral:rRNA from 1 species